rnacentral:tRNA from 1 species
AUUUAAGUAGUUUAUUAAAAAUAUUGAUUUGUGGUGUCAAUGAUAUGAACUUAUUCAUCUNAGAUC